rnacentral:misc_RNA from 1 species
UCCGGCUUAUCACCGGCAGUUUCCUCAGAGUUCUCAGCAUUACCUGUUAGCAACAGAGGACGAGGGUUGCGCUCGUUGCGGGACUUAACCCAACAUCUCACGACACGAGCUGACGACAGCCAUGCAGCACCUGUGCUCCUCCCACCCGAAGUGAAGGAAUGCUUUUCGGCAUUCCAUAGAGGGCAUGUCGAAUCCUGGUAAGGUUCUUCGCGUUGCCUCGAAUUAAACCACAUGUUCCACCGCUUGUGCGGGUCCCCGUCAAUUUCUUUGAGUUUUAAUCUUGCGACCGUACUCCCCAGGCGGCACGUUUAUCGCGUUAGCUUCGCCACAGAAGGGGUCGAUUCCUCCUACAGCAAACGUGCACCGUUUAGGGCUAGGACUAC